rnacentral:rRNA from 1 species
GACAGAGGGUGCAAACGUUGCUCGGAAUCACUGGGCGUAAAGGGCGUGUAGGCGGGACGGUAAGUCGGGCGUGAAAUCCCUAGGCUCAACCUAGGAACUGCACUCGAAACUACCAUUCUUGAGUGUCGGAGAGGAAAGCGGAAUUCCUGGUGUAGAGGUGAAAUUCGUAGAUAUCAGGAGGAGCACCAGUGGCGAAGGCGGCUUUCUGGACGAUAACUGACGCUGAGACGCGAAAGCGUGGGGAGCAAACAGG